AAAUUGAAGAGUUUGAUCAUGGCUCAGAUUGAACGCUGGCGGCAGGCCUAACACAUGCAAGUCGAACGGUAACAGGAAACAGCUUGCUGUUUCGCUGACGAGUGGCGGACGGGUGAGUAAUGUCUGGGAAACUGCCUGAUGGAGGGGGAUAACUACUGGAAACGGUAGCUAAUACCGCAUAACGUCGCAAGACCAAAGAGGGGGACCUUCGGGCCUCUUGCCAUCGGAUGUGCCCAGAUGGGAUUAGCUAGUAGGUGGGGUAACGGCUCACCUAGGCGACGAUCCCUAGCUGGUCUGAGAGGAUGACCAGCCACACUGGAACUGAGACACGGUCCAGACUCCUACGGGAGGCAGCAGUGGGGAAUAUUGCACAAUGGGCGCAAGCCUGAUGCAGCCAUGCCGCGUGUAUGAAGAAGGCCUUAGGGUUGUAAAGUACUUUCAGCGGGGAGGAAGGGAGUAAAGUUAAUACCUUUGCUCAUUGACGUUACCCGCAGAAGAAGCACCGGCUAACUCCGUGCCAGCAGCCGCGGUAAUACGGAGGGUGCAAGCGUUAAUCGGAAUUACUGGGCGUAAAGCGCACGCAGGCGGUUUGUUAAGUCAGAUGUGAAAUCCCCGGGCUCAACCUGGGAACUGCAUCUGAUACUGGCAAGCUUGAGUCUCGUAGAGGGGGGUAGAAUUCCAGGUGUAGCGGUGAAAUGCGUAGAGAUCUGGAGGAAUACCGGUGGCGAAGGCGGCCCCCUGGACGAAGACUGACGCUCAGGUGCGAAAGCGUGGGGAGCAAACAGGAUUAGAUACCCUGGUAGUCCACGCCGUAAACGAUGUCGACUUGGAGGUUGUGCCCUUGAGGCGUGGCUUCCGGAGCUAACGCGUUAAGUCGACCGCCUGGGGAGUACGGCCGCAAGGUUAAAACUCAAAUGAAUUGACGGGGGCCCGCACAAGCGGUGGAGCAUGUGGUUUAAUUCGAUGCAACGCGAAGAACCUUACCUGGUCUUGACAUCCACGGAAGUUUUCAGAGAUGAGAAUGUGCCUUCGGGAACCGUGAGACAGGUGCUGCAUGGCUGUCGUCAGCUCGUGUUGUGAAAUGUUGGGUUAAGUCCCGCAACGAGCGCAACCCUUAUCCUUUGUUGCCAGCGGUCCGGCCGGGAACUCAAAGGAGACUGCCAGUGAUAAACUGGAGGAAGGUGGGGAUGACGUCAAGUCAUCAUGGCCCUUACGACCAGGGCUACACACGUGCUACAAUGGCGCAUACAAAGAGAAGCGACCUCGCGAGAGCAAGCGGACCUCAUAAAGUGCGUCGUAGUCCGGAUUGGAGUCUGCAACUCGACUCCAUGAAGUCGGAAUCGCUAGUAAUCGUGGAUCAGAAUGCCACGGUGAAUACGUUCCCGGGCCUUGUACACACCGCCCGUCACACCAUGGGAGUGGGUUGCAAAAGAAGUAGGUAGCUUAACCUUCGGGAGGGCGCUUACCACUUUGUGAUUCAUGACUGGGGUGAAGUCGUAACAAGGUAACCGUAGGGGAACCUGCGGUUGGAUCACCUCCUUACCUUAAAGAAGC
rnacentral:rRNA from 1 species